rnacentral:rRNA from 1 species
UACGAAGGGGGCUAGCGUUGCUCGGAGUUACUGGGCGUAAAGGGCGCGUAGGCGGCGCACCAAGUCAGGCGUGAAAGCCCUGGGCUCAACCCGGGAAUUGCGCUUGAGACUGGUGUGCUUGAGUACGGGAGAGGAUAGUGGAAUUCCCAGUGUAGAGGUGAAAUUCGUAGAUAUUGGGAAGAACACCGGUGGCGAAGGCGGCUAUCUGGACCAUAACUGACGCUGAUGCACGAAAGCUAGGGGAGCAAACAGG